rnacentral:rRNA from 1 species
AUUGAACGCUGGCGGCAGGCCUAACACAUGCAAGUCGAGCGGAUGAAGGGAGCUUGCUCCUGGAUUCAGCGGCGGACGGGUGAGUAAUGCCUAGGAAUCUGCCUGGUAGUGGGGGAUAACGUCCGGAAACGGGCGCUAAUACCGCAUACGUCCUGAGGGAGAAAGUGGGGGAUCUUCGGACCUCACGCUAUCAGAUGAGCCUAGGUCGGAUUAGCUAGUUGGUGGGGUAAAGGCCUACCAAGGCGACGAUCCGUAACUGGUCUGAGAGGAUGAUCAGUCACACUGGAACUGAGACACGGUCCAGACUCCUACGGGAGGCAGCAGUGGGGAAUAUUGGACAAUGGGCGAAAGCCUGAUCCAGCCAUGCCGCGUGUGCGAAGAAGGUCUUCGGAUUGUAAAGCACUUUAAGUCGGGAGGAAGGGCAGUAAGUUAAUACCUUGCUGUUUUGACGUUACCAACAGAAUAAGCACCGGCUAACUUCGUG